UUCACCUAGACGUGCACAUGGAGAGAAAGGGAGGGGGGUGAGGUUAGGCCGGGGAGGGCGAGGUAGGUAAUCAUGAUUGGACUUCCUUCCUCGUGUUAAUAGGGCAGAAAUAUUUUGAGCUCUUAGCUGUUGUUGUUCAAUGAAUGAAGAUAUCUACACUCAAACGUGAUCAUCUUUGCAAAGACAGCUAUGUUGGGAACGAGCAGGUGUACCUAACAAUUUGGCCGAUGUGUGCAGCUUAUCCUCAUGUUACCUUUCACUUACUCACUGUAUUUUCCUUUUUUGUAUUUUAUAUUUCAGUCUUGUCACAUCCAAGCAUCCCCCACAAGAUGCUCGCAACAAGUGAUGGAGUGACUUUCACUUAAAUGCCUCUGUUUUGUCUGGUUUCCCACACUGCCAAGAUGUCUCCCACACUGAUGUGCACGGGAGGGUGGGGAUGGUCCCUGGGAGGCACACGCAUCACGCGCGUAACGGCCACGUCACGAGCUCUCCGGUGUCCCGGGAUUUAUUUAAUAAUUUUACUUGAAUGAAGUGGGAGCGGCCCCCGUGCAGUGCAGCCUACAUAUACAGCGGUGGCUUCCCCACUGCUUCACUCAUUCUUGUAUCUCGCCUAUAAGGUGCGAGAAUUAUAAUAGCCGACAUAUUGCAUUUUAAUAAUGAUAAUAAUAAUAAUGGUAAUGAUAAUAAUCAUCAUCAUCAUAAUAACGAGAAUCAAUAAUAAACAUUUGGGUCACCACGCUGUCCACGCUAUAAACAUUUAUGCUGCACAAGGGGCCAUAAAAAGUGCAGCUAUAAAUGCUUUUGCCAUCUACUGACUUUACAGCUUCAUAAAAGAAUAAAUGAGCAGUUUGCAACCUA